rnacentral:rRNA from 1 species
UACGUAGGGUGCAAGCGUUGUCCGGAUUUAUUGGGCGUAAAGAGCUCGUAGGCGGCUUAGAAAGUCAGGUGUGAAACCUCCAGGCUCAACCUGGAGACGCCACUUGAUACUUCUAUGGCUUGAGUUCGGUAGGGGUAGACGGAAUUCCUGGUGUAGCGGUGAAAUGCGCAGAUAUCAGGAGGAACACCGAUGGCGAAGGCAGUCUACUGGGCCGAUACUGACGCUGAGGAGCGAAAGCGUGGGGAGCGAACAGG